rnacentral:lncRNA from 1 species
UUUGGGAUUUAGGUCUUCCUAAAUGGCAAAGAAAGACGUCAAGAGUGAUAGUGCAUUCUGAAGGGGAAUAUGAAUAUCCUAUUGUUGAAUAUUUAAGGUUUUAUAUAUAUAGUUUGAUAGAUACACAUUAGUAGGGACAAGGGGGUCAUCAAUGUUACAUGAAUAUCUCAAGGGCAUCUUAUUUCAGGGUCUAGCCUAGAUUUGGCAUAUAUUCAUUCAAAUAUUACCUGAGUAUCAGUCCAAAACUCAAUUUUCUUAGUAAACUCAGAAAGUAUCAGGGGGUUAGUAGGAGAGGAGGGAGGGAGAAAGUGCUGGGGAGUGUCGUUGGCCCAAUUAUAUUGUUAUAAUAUGUGCAUGUCCUAAUAUAUAACAACAAAUCCCACCAUUAUGUACAACUAUAAUGUACUGAUUUAAAAAUGUGGAGAAAGAAAGUAUCAGGAUCACUACAAAUGUAUGGUUGCUAAAUUUACAUCCAUGCCAAUGGACUCAUCUAAAGGAGCUAUUUCCAGUGAGCAUAAGCUAAUUUCUUCUUUGUGUUUGGGAAACCAAAUGUGAACUGGAAGGUUGCUUAGUGAGCAUAGAAUCAGAACAAGGAAACCACAGGAAUUUGAGUGAGACAUGCUGCCUAGGUGCCAGGAAAGUCCCAUGAAAUGUGCCUGUUCUAUAAGAAAAAAUACUCCCUUAAGACCAAAUUUCUGUUAUCCUCGAGUUCCCAUGUGCUCCGUCCCAUGUGCAGUUCAAGAUGUGCCCAUUAAUAAUUGUUUCUCUGAACCCUAGUUAUUUAAGAAUAUCUCAUGGGAGUCAAAUAUGCCACUUCACCUUACACCUGCGUGGUCAGAUCUUCUUAUAUGGCCACACCUACCUGUAAGGAAGAAUAGGACAUAUAUUCUUUAUUCUAGGCAGCCAAUUGCAUGGUUACAAAAAGGAAGAAUGGAUAUUGGGGGGAAAUAUCACAAGAGGUAUUACAAAUACCAUUUUGUCAAUGGGAAAUUAGGCCUAAGAAAGUUAAGCACAAAGCUUUGAAGUAGCAAAAAAGAACCAGUCAAGCUUAGUGUUUGCUGGAAUGGAAAAGAGAAGCUGCUACUAACCAGCUGCUGCUGAUUUUCCAUCCGCCAAGUCUCACAAGAUAGUAUCUGUGGUAGCUCACAAGAUCUGAAAACAUGCUAGAGAGGGAAUUCUGAUCUUUCAUCUAAGUUGCCAUUUAUACAAGGAAUUUAGAAAAUCUUGAAACCAAUUUGACAUUUUUCUUUUAAUGCUUGUCAUUGUUUACUUCCCAUUUGGCAGUUGCAAAGAGGUGUUUCUCUCUGGGGCUUUGAUGCCAAAGCUUUGAAGAAGUACAGGAAACCUGGGACGUCACAUAUUCGUCCACUUUUUUGAGGGUAGUGCUGACUAUCAACUGAACAUGUUGCCUGGGAUCACUCUUCAUACAUUCAAAAGCCAAAACCAGAAGAAGGUCAAAUCACACGUGGGAUUCCAAAAGACCAUCUACCCAAUCCCACUCAUGCCAGGGCAUUAAUGUACAACUCCAUUUAGAAUCAUCCAUGUCAUUGUAAGAGGAAUACUUGUUUCACUGUAGAAAAUAUUUAAAACAAAUUGUAUUUUAAUAGAGGAAAGGAAAGCUGGGUAAAACAGGGCACCCCUAUAGUUCUGGCUACUCAGGGGGCUAAGGCAAGAGACUUUUAAGCCCAUGAAUUCCUGGCCAGUCUUGGCAACAGAGUGAGAACCCUAAUCAAAAAAAUAAAUAAAAUAAAAAUUUUAAAAAUAGAAGAAAGAAAAAUCACUUGCCUCCAGACAUAACACUAUCAAUAUUUUGGUACCUAUCCUUGCAGUGUUUUUUAAAAUAAUUGAUACAGACAGUUAUUUUACAAAAUUGGAUUAAUAGUUUUUCUUCCCAUAAAAUAUUUCUCUAUGCAGAGUAAUAUCUAAUCAUAUUAUUCUAUCAUAAUUUUUAUGAAUCCCUAAUAUUACAUAAUUCAAUUGUCUGCAAUUUUUACUGUUAUAAAUAAUAAUUAUUCACUCAUUCAACAUCUACUUAAUGAGUUCUUACUAAUACCAAUCACUGUACUAAGUUCUGUGGAUACACUAGUAAACAAGAAAGCCCUUCACGAAGUUAAUGUUCUACGAGGGGAAAGACACUGAACAAGUAAACACAAAUAAAUACAAAAAAUGAAGCUGAAGUAAUGGGAGAGAAUGACUGGGAAGGACACAGCCAGUCAGGGAAUGCUUCUCUGAGAAGGUAGCAUUUCAGCAAAGAGCUAAAGGAGAGCCAGCCACAUGAAGAGUGAAUGCAGAAGUAUUCCUGAUAGCAUGUGGGCAGUGGGCAGUUCAUGCUGUAGAUAGUCACAGUGUGGUGGCAGCUUCUGGAGGACAAGGGAAUGAUGUAGGCUAGGGUGGAGAGACAGCCAGAAGCCAGAUCAUACAGGGACUAGACUUUGACACUAAGAGCAGAGGGAAGCUGUCGAAGGUUUUUAAGGAAGAUGACAUGAUUCAACGUACAUGUUUUAAAGAGACUCUGGCUGCCAUGUGGAGAAUAGUGUAGAAAUAAAGAAGGGGAUGUUGGCAGUUGAUAAAGUGGUCCAGUUAGGGGGCCUUCAGAUGAAAACAGUGGAUGGAGACAGGAAAUUCCUUAGCAUGACAAGGAUAAGGACAAUAGGAAGAAUCUUGGAUCAGUAAAACUCAGUGGUAGGCCUUCAAACCCAUCAAAGUCUACUGCAUCAUGUUGAUUUCAUCUUUACCUAGAACAGAAGAAAAGAACUGGGCUUAAACUGUAACAGAAAAGAUGUAAGUCAUUCAAAAAAGCAUUUUUUACCACUAUAAGUACUUGGCACCAUGUAUGCAUGUAAGUGUAGCUAGAACUACCUUCCUUGAGAAAAGGGUCCUCCUGUUUAGGUGAUGUGGGCAGUUGUUGCUGGAAUCUGUGUGUGAUAAGACAGUCAGGGUCACUGAUGGAAUGAGGGAUCUGAAUUUCUAUCCUGAAUAUACUUCCCCUGAGAUGCCUGGUGGGCUAGGAAUAGGGGUCUACUACAGAGCAGAGAACUCAGUUGUAAAAACCAAAGGAUCCUUAAAGGAGGAAACCAUGUUCCCAAAUGCCCCUUUCCAUUCCUCAAAACCUAAUCAAUUUAAGGGAACAAUGAGUGUGAGUUGGGAUGGAAUAUUCAGCUACAUAUUAUCUUAAAGGAUACUGGCUUUCUCUCCUAUGUGCUGGGAAUGAAGGAAGUUAAUAUUAUCUAUAGAUAGCUGCCCUCUGGAUGAGUGCCAAGUUCCUUAGGUGUGCUGGUUGCACAGUGGGACAAAGCAAGCUAAGCCAAUGCUGCUUCUGUAACCUAGCCUAGAAAAACCCCUCCUUGUGGUAACUGCUUCAGAUCAGAGAACUAUGGAGAGGGAAGUGCUCAUCCAAGUGGCCACCCCUAGACAAAAUAUUCUGUGGGGCAGGGGGUGCUAUAUUCUAGCAAAGCUCCAGAUGCAUCUGUGUGAAACAGAGAUGCACUCAUCCAGCAUGUUGUCACUGGACCUUCUGGUGAAACACCUGUCCAGCCUGUUGCCAUUGAACUUCUUCCAUAAACACUUCUUGAUAAAACUUAUAUCCCAUCUCUAGGUGUCUUCUUUGGUCUCUCAGCAACUUGUCCCACUGCCCUAACAUGACUGGACUGUGACAUAACAAGAAGGCAUCAGAGGUACAUGUUGGAGCCAGACUUACAGUUUAGGGUUAGAGGCAAAGAGGACAGAUUCUACCCCAAGUUAUGUGUUCUUGAAAUAGCAUGGCGGCUCUCUGAGAUACAACCAAGAAAUCUGUGUUUCUGGGACCACACCUUCAAACCAACCUAACUAAACACUAGCCCCAGAAACCUGAAUCAAUUCAAAAAAUGUAUUGUGAGGCGUGCAACACGCCAAGCAAGGCUCAGUGCUUGACAAACAUUUUAAUACAAUACUUAAAACUAGGGUUAUAAUCAGCCCUAUAAUCCUUAUGUUGCAGAUGAGGAAAUUGAGGCACAGAGAUUCAAAAACUUACCCAAAUCUGCAUGACUAUUUCCUCAUAGAGACAGGAUUUAAUACUGGUCUGGUUGAUAUGGGGGCCCAUGAUUUUCAUCAAACCACUGACUUUAUGGGAAGGAUCCUUACAGGUCAUUUAGUUGAAUACUUUAUUCUCUAGAUACAGAGAUGUGCACAAACCAUAAUGGAAUCAAAGAUUUGUCCACCUCCACUUGUCUGCUUGCUUUUCUUCUGAGGUAUUACAUCCAAAAGCAGCACAUCCCAAAUAUCUUCUUUCAGCAGACACUGAGGUUCUCUAACUAGGUUCAAACCAGAAGGCAAACAUCUGAGAAUAAGCAUUUCAACACUAAAACAGCAACACAAACCUGAGGAAACUCAAAUAUAUACACACAGUCUCAAAUACAAAAGCACUUAGGCUGGGUGUGGUGGCACAUGCCUGUAAUCCCAGCUCAGGAGGCUGAGGCAGGAGGAUCUGAAUUCAAAGCCAGCCUCAGCAAAAGUGAGUUGCUAAGCAAAUCAGUGAGACCUAACUAAACACUCAGGGUCACUCCUGGUGAACUGGGCUGCACAAAAUAAUCAGAGACAGAGAAGUACCUUUUUCUUUGGGUGCUGUGGUGGCUCCUCUGACUUAAGGGUCUGUGGAAAGAGAGCCAGGAGCAGGUGAUGUGCUGAAUCCUUUUAUUGGGAAGAAGCCAUUCAAAUGAGGCAAGGGGUCAGGUUUCAGGGGCUUAGGUUUAGCUUCAUGAUGUCUGCUGUCAGCUGAUUGAUUGACAUCUAGGAAGGCCAUGCCCAAAGGCAGAGCAAGAGAAGGGGAAACACAAAGUGAGUUUCCAUGGAACAUUCUAUCCCAAAUAGGGCAAAGAGGUAGUAUUACAAAGGAAACAGUGUAACUCAACCCUAGGGGCAUGCCCCACAAAGAGAACCUCCUUGCUAUCCAAGUGGGGUGGGGAGGGGAUGGGGGGGAGACUGAGUCAGGAGUCAUGGCACUACCACGCCAGAUUACAGUGAUCAUUCAGAUCCCCAUAGUGCAUCAGGACUGGAAGGCAUGGUCACUCAGUGUGGCUCCCCACACCUGUCUCUAAAUAAAAUACAAAAUAGGGCUGGGGAUGUGGCUCAGUGAUCAAGUGCCCCUGAAUUCAAGCCCCGGUACCAAAACAAAACAUUUAGAAGCAUGAUCUAUAACAGCAAACAUUUUUGAAAUUUUGUCUGUGCAUCAAAGGAAGGAGAUUGUGGCACACAGUGAAGGAAGCACAGAACAAAUCACUGGGAAAUCAUUUCCAUCUAGUUGAAGAAUGAGUUAAACAGCCUUGCCAACCAUUACAAACAUUCCCAGCCUUCUUUCCCUCUCAGAGGAAUGAAGAACUGCUUUUAAUGGAGCUCCUAUGCUGAAAGCAAAAUCUGCAAUCUUUACCAUUGCUGAAGACCCAGCACAGUUCCCGCCCCACUGCUAGUCUCUAAUCUUAUCUCCAGCUCUUUUGCUUAUUCCUUGUCAAACAGAGAGACUCUCUGUUCCUCUAAUAUGCCAAGUGCUCUUCUCUGAGGUUGAUUCCCUCACUUCCUUCAGACCCCCUGUCAGGGAAGCCAACUACACUGCCUCCCUCUGACACUUCUUAUCCCCUUCUCUGGCUCAAAAUUCUCCAUGGUGCUUAUCUAAUGUAUACAUGGGUAUUUAGGGCCUGUUCCCUCUGGCUGACUAGAAUAUAACCUGUGGGAGAGCAAGGAUGUCAGUUUUAUUCAGUGCAUUGUGCCCAGCUUUAGAAGAGUGUUUGGCAAACAGUCGUUUUUCUAUAAUUAAAGAAUUUGUAGAGAAAGCAUAUAUUAGCAGAAGGACAUUCUAUACUGUGACAGCUAGAGGCUAGGUAGGGCACAGGAAGGGGGAUGACACAGAGAGAUUAUAAUGGAGGAGUGAGUUCUGGUGCUCCACAGCACAGUGGACGGCUGUAGCUCACAAUGGCCUAUUAUAAUUUUAUGGAGAACUAGAAGAGAGGAGCACAAAGGGUCCAAGCACAAAGUUAUGAUAAGGAGAUGUAAAUGCAAAUUGCCCUGAUUUGAUCAGUACAUAUUGUAUACAUUUAAGGAACUAUCAAAGUGUAUCCCAUAAAUAUGUAUAAUCAUUACUUGUUAACCAAAAUUGUGAAAAAAUGUUUGAAGAGAUGGAAAUGAUUAUACUAUUCAUCACAGAUGUGUUGAAUUACUAUACCAUAU